UUUGUCAAAAUUCAUAAGAACAACACAAAGAGAAAGUCUUGAUGUAAACUAUAGACUUUAGUUAAUAACAUAACAUUGAUUCAUUAAUCAUAACAUGUAUAUCAAAUUAAUAUAAGAUGUUAAUAGUAGGGGAAAAUAUGUGUUAAGGAAGGGGCAAGAGGUAUACAGGAACUCUUUAUCUACUCAGUUAUGUGCAAACAUAAUAUUGUUGUUUGUUAUUAAUUCAAAUACAAAAAAAAAUAAAAAUUUAAAAUACUGUUCCAAAGAGAGGAUGGGCCACAUAAUACAUGUGACGUUAACCUGAGUAAAGUGAAAACUUGCUAUUCAUAGCAAGAAAUUCAGAAGCAGGGAUUUAAGUUUUCCAGGUCUAUUGUUUUCCUUCUUUCUGCACCACAACUAAAAACACUUGCCUAAUAAAUGAAGAGGUCCUGAGAUAGUUCAAAUACUUUUUAGUUAAGAGGAAAUGGUGGAUUUAUAUGUGUGCAUGGGUUCACACUUAAAUGCACUUUUAUGGGUGCAUGUUUGUAUAAUGCAAUGGAGAUAUAAAUGUACAUAAUAACCAAGCAGAAUAUCAUAGAUUAAAUAUUUAUUUUAGUCUUAGUUUUAUAUUAUAUACACAGAUGUCAUGAUAAAAAAACUAAACUGCUUCCUCUGGAUCAGGUUGCCAUGCUCAAUAUGAAUGGAUGUAUACCUAUGUUGCUAAGUCUGAGAAAAGCUAGUUAAUCCCUUUAUGGCUCCUGUAGCAUUUGAGAAAAAGACUUUUGCUACUGUGUGCCCUGUACCCUAAUUUCACACAAACUCACCUCUCUUAAGAUCGAGCCAAAAUAUAACACAAACACACCCCACAUUUGAAAUCUGGCAAAUAAAUAAAUAAAUAUAUAUAAUUUGCGUAAUAUUUUGUAAUUAAAUUUAUGUAUAAAUAUACACUUAUAAUUAUAUUUCAUAUAAUAUAUAUUAUAUAUAUUGCUUUUCCAUCCCUUCCUAUGUUAGUCUCUAAGCUUGUUACAAAAUUGGAAAUGCAUUUCUUUGUGCCAGUUUAUCAAUAUCUAAUGGUCAAGUAUGUUAUUUUUAUAUCAAUUGCACUCCAUGCCCACUCAUCCUCAUAAAAAAGAGACUGUUUUACCCAAAGGAUGAACAAUUUUGUUGCUUAGGGAUGAAUACUAUUUAUUGCUUCCAUGUGCUCAAUUAUAGAAGAAAACCAAUAUGACAGAGUGUAAAGUCAAAUAGUUGGAAAAGACAUAUAAAAUAUCUUCAGCCAGGUUUUUAAUCCCUGUGGUGACAAGUAAUGAGGGAACACAUCUCGUUACCACCAACUUCAUUCAUUUACACAUACAUCUGGAGCUGGCUUUAAGAUAGAUCCUUUCUUCCUAAAUGAAAACAAACAAAGAAACAAAAAAUCCUAAAACUUGUUUUCUAUAAAAUUUAUUUUUAUUGCAGAGUAAAAAGUAAAGGUGGGAAACAGGGCUGUAAAUGGAAAUAAAACAUGUUCAUUCUUUCAUUCCAAGCUCAACACAGUCUGCUCUCUUUAUCAGCAUCAUGAUAGUAUAGCCCUUUUGGCAGAGUUCUGGAGUGAGAGAGCUAACUGGGAAUAAGAUCAGGUCAGUUUAGCACUAAUGUUCCCAUCCUUGUGAGUUAGGGUGGGUCAUCAGACAAUCACUCCCAAACCCAGGCCAUCCCUAGCACAGUCUGUCAUAAGUCCUUUAAGAUCAGUCCAAUUAUAUUCUUCGUUCUUGUUUGUACUAACCAUAAGAACUCUUAAACUCAGUCAUUCCUCAUCUCCUCAAAUCCAAUCUCCUUUAAAGCUCUGUAAUUCCUUUUUUUCAUCCUGUCUUAUUCUACCAGCUGAGUUUUUGAUACCCUUACACUGAGCCUGUGGAAUUAUUUUACAUUCUGAGAUAAAAUUCUUCUCUGACCAAUCACUUCAAAUUGCAUUGCUGAUGAAAUAUGGAUCUCCUCUGAGAGCAUAGCUUCCACUGCUGGCUUCUCAACUGAUACAUGUUUUUGAUCCUGCAGCUCUCAUACAUGUGAGCCUGAAUAUUUUCUUCAGAAUUUAUUCCUAGUUCCAGAUCAUUCUUUCUUUCUUCUCCCUUAAAAACAUUUGGCUUUGAUUCUCAAAGAUAUUAUCAGAUUAUCUGACCCACUAACACUAUUACUGAUCUCUAUACUUCCUAGUUCGUUUCCUCCUUCUUCCCCUCAGAGCUCAAAACUUUUAACAUUGGCUCUAAUACUGGUCCCUGCUUUAAUUCUCUGAUGCUCCUUCAACCAUUGACACUUUGGCUCUUUAAAUUUCAUUUCUCUAAAUUCUUGUCUUCAUCUCUGCUAUAAUCUUUCAUGGCUUUAUUUGUAACCUGGAUCUUAUGAUUACCAAUGAAUGCAACACCUCUAAGACCUGAGCUUCUUUGAUCACCUCCUUUGAUCACCCCCCUCUUUGAUUACCCCCAUUCUAUUCUUUGAUCACCCCCUCUUCUCUCUGAAUUCAUUCUGUCAUUCAAACCUGAACAAAACCUCAAGUCCAUUAAAACCUCCAUUCCGUUGUACUAACUUUUCAUUUUACCAUUUUGAUGUCCUAUAUUUCUCAUUUCUUAGCUUUAAUUCCAUGCCCAUUAGUUAACUCAACAGAUAUCCACUGACAGCAAGGCACAAUUUUAAGUGCUUUCUAUAUAUUAGAAAAAAAAAUUAAAAAGACCUCUGUCUUCAUGUAUCUUAAAUUAUAAUAAUUCCCUUAUAUAAAUAUAUACUAGUGCAUCGGUCAGUUUGGGCUAAAUUACUAUGUGAUAACAAAUAACUCCCAAAUAUUAGGUAAAAGCCAAAAGACAAGGCUUUAAAUUUUAUCUUUGUUAUAUGUAAAUCAUGAGGUACCUUAUGUUUCCCUUCAUCUAAUCAAGAUUAGGCUAUAUCUUGAACAUGUCCCUCAUGGUAAAGACAGAGGACUAUAUGGCACAUUGAUGUGAUAUCCCUAAAAGUUCCUGCAUAUUGUAAAAAGUUAUAUCACUUUCACUAAAAAGUUAUUGGCCCAAAUAAUAAUGUGGCCAAGAUUGAAAAUAUAAGAUACCAAAGAAUGAGGACACAGUAGGGGGCCUGGUAGAAUUUUGUCCUUUCUCAGCAGUCAAACUUACUCAGCAAAACUGUAAUUCCAAUUAUUUCUACUUACUCUCAUCUGCACCCACACUGCUGUAUCAUGGCUAGAGGAAAAAAAAUACAUGAACUGGCCAAACUGGUCACCAAAUGGGUGACCAUAAUAUCAAGUGGGUUAUUUAUGCCAAGAAAUAAAACAGGUUUCUCUCUUAUGGGGAGAAUUUGUCACCCCCAAAUUCAUGUUGUUGAAUUCAUAAUUCCUAGAACCUAAGAAUGCGACCUUAUUUGAAGAUAGGAUUUUUACAUAGAUACUUAAGUUAAAAUGGGGUAAUUUGAGUGGGCCCUAAACCAAUAUGACAGGUAUCCUUAUAAAGAGGAAACAUUUGGACACAGAGACAUGCAUAGAAGGAAGACGGCAAAGGGAAAAGACAGCCAUCUAUAAACCAAGUAGAAAGGUAUGGAACAGAUUUUUCACCCACAGCCCCAGGGGGUAUCAACUAGGCAGACACCUCAAUUUUAACUUCUAGUAUCUGAAACUGUGAGGCAAUAAAUUUCUAUUAUUUAAGCCACCCAGUUGGUGGUACUUUCUUAUGGCAGUCCUAGCAAACUAAUCCAGUCUCUAAGAUAAUAAUUUUCUUAUUCUCCCAUCUCACAACACCCUUGCUCUUCUCAAACCACCAAUAAGACAGGCCCCAUCAUCAGUCUAAUGAUGACUUCAGCGAUCUGAUGACUUCACUUCUUACUAUGCUAAGAAUAUUAGAGUCAUCAGAAAAUAUCAGAAGAUGCCUUCUGUAGGCUCUUUCUAUGAAAUACCUUCACCUAACAACAUCUGCGUAAACAUAUCUGCAUUACUGUUGAAUGUCAUAGAUAGAAGAUCUUUGCCUCUAUCUAAAAUAAAAUCUUUCACUCUCCCUUUCUUGUCUCUUCAAGGGUGUCACUUCAGCAAUUCUCCCCUUUCCUUUCUACAUAAUUCAAUACUCCUUCUCUGUUAUAAUAUUUUCAUUAUCACAUUCUUUCAUCAAAAAUGUAAUAAUGUUUUUAUCUCAUUCUCAUCAAAUACAACACAGUUUUUUUUGGCUUGCAUUUGCAGAAAAACUUGAAAUAAUUGACAAUUAACAUUGUUUUCAGUUCCUCUCCCAUUUCCUUUUAAAUCUCCUCAGAUCAGGCUGCUUCUUCUUCUCUUUUUUUUUUUUUUUUUAUUUUGUCUUUUUAGGGCUACACCCAUGGCCUAAGGAUCAUACCACAGCUCUAGAUGCUGGCCUACACCACAGCCACAGCCACAGCAACACCAGAUCUGAGUGGCAUCUGCAACCUACACCAUGGCUCAUGGCAAUGCUGGAUCUUUAACCCACUGAGUGAGGCCAGGGAUUGAACCUGUGUUCUCAUGGAUACCAGUCAGAUUCAUUUCUGCUGAGCCACGACAGGAACUCCAGAUCGGGCUUCUUUACCUACUGCUGUAUUCCAACAAUUCUCAUUCUAAUGGACAGAACAUAAAGAGAUCCUUAAGAUCUCUGCCUCUUAAUAUUUAUGUCCUUGUGUAAUCACCCCCCUUCAAUAUGUGUGGGAAAUGUGACUAUACUUUAACCUUUACAAUAUGAUAAAGGUGAUAGGUUGUAUGUGAUCAUGUUCAAAUGAAUAUAUAACAAUCUGAAGUAAUAAGCCUUUUGCUGAGAUUUUCUCUCCUUUGAAAGCUUUGAUGAAGCAAGUGACCAGGUUAAAAAGGUCCACAUGUCAUGGAACUGGGGGGCAACUUUGAGCUAACAAAAAACUGAGAGUGGCUUCUGGCCAACAACAAAAAACUGAGGCUCUCAGUCUAACAGCCCAUGUAGAAUUGACUUUGGACAGCAAUCACAUGAAUUUGGAAAAGAUCCUUUCACAGUUGAGAUGGGACUCAGCUAACAACUUAAAUGUGUCUUUAAAAUAAUGUCCUUCAGCAGAGAACUUAGAAAAGUAAUGCAUAGAUUCCUGAUCCAAAGAUCUG
rnacentral:lncRNA from 1 species